GAUGAACGCUAGCGGCAGGCUUAAUACAUGCAAGUCGAGGGGUAACAUGGUAGCAAUACUGAUGACGACCGGCAAACGGGUGCGGAACACGUACAGAACCUUCCUUUAAGCGGGGAUAGCCCAUAGGAAAUGUGGAUUAAUACCCCAUAGUAAUGUUUAAUGGCAUCAUUAGAUAUUUAAAGAUUUAUCACUUAAAGAUGGCUGUGCGGCUGAUUAGGUAGUUGGUGGGUAACGGCCACCAAGCCUUCGAUCAGUAACUGGUGUGAGAGCACGACCAAGUCACACGGGCACUGAGACACGGG
rnacentral:rRNA from 1 species